rnacentral:tRNA from 1 species
GUGUCAGGAUGGCGGAGUGGUCUAACGCGCCAGACUCAAGUUCUGGUCCUCUAACGAGGGCGUGGGUUCAAAUCCCACUUCUGACAUUUUUUUUUUUUUUGCGCUUUGAUUUGUAAAUUACUUUAGCGUACCAUUUAAAUUGUGCUUUGUAGAUUGUAAUGGGUCUUUAGCUUACUACUGAAACAAUAUUUUUUAUUUUGCUUUAUAUGAUCACUAUGGGAUUUAGCCUUUUUUUGCUUUAUUUAGAUCACUAUGAAUUUGGCUGACCAGAUGAACAGAACUGUCAGGAUGGCCGAGUGGUCUAAGGCGCCAGACUCAAGUUCUGGUCUUCGAGAGAGGGCGUGGGUUCAAAUCCCACUUCUGACAU